rnacentral:rRNA from 1 species
UACGUAGGGUGCGAGCGUUGCCCCGGAUUUAUUGGGCGUAAAGGGCGCGUAGGCGGCUCGGCACGUCCGUUGUGAAAUCGCCCGGCUCAACUGGGCGGGGUCAGCGGAUACGGUCGAGCUUGAGCAAGCUAGGGGGUAAUGGAAUUCCCGGUGUAGUGGUGGAAUGCGUAGAUAUCGGGAGGAACACCAGUGGCGAAGGCGGUUACCUGGGGCUUUGCUGACGCUGAUGCGCGAAAGCGUGGGGAGCGAUCCGG